rnacentral:lncRNA from 1 species
UAACAGUCACGGUUAUCUCGCUUCCGUACAGAUUCACCGUAUAAGUGCAGUGUGGCCGGAAUUGUCCUGGUGGUCACGGAUCACGGCAGCAGCCAUCUUCUUCUUCUUUUUUUCGGAAUUGGCCGUAUCUUCACCGUCGUCACCGAUGAUCAAUAUUUUUAAUCCUUUUCUAGAAGUAACUCUUGAAAUUGCAACAUAC